rnacentral:rRNA from 1 species
UACGUAGGGUGCGAGCGUUAUCCGGAAUUAUUGGGCGUAAAGAGCUCGUAGGCGGUUUGUCACGUCUGCUGUGAAAACUGGAGGCUCAACCUUCAGCCUGCAGUGGGUACGGGCAGACUAGAGUGCGGUAGGGGAGAUUGGAAUUCCUGGUGUAGCGGUGGAAUGCGCAGAUAUCAGGAGGAACACCGAUGGCGAAGGCAGAUCUCUGGGCCGUUACUGACGCUGAGGAGCGAAAGCGUGGGAGCGAACAGG